rnacentral:rRNA from 1 species
GACGAACGCUGGCGGCGUGCCUAAUACAUGCAAGUAGGACGCAGUUGCGAACGGGUGAGUAACGCGUAGGUAACUACCUAUUAGAGGGGGAUAACUAUUGGAAACGAUAGCUAAUACCGCAUAAUAGUAGAUGGACCUGCGUGGUAUUAGCUAGUAGGUAGGGUAAUGGCCUACCUAGGCAACGAUACAUAGCCGAACUGUGGUGGGGAUCGGCAACACUGGGACUGAGACACGGUCCAUACUCCGACGGUAGGCAGCAGUAGGGAAACUUCGGCAAUGGGGGGAACCCUGACCUAGCAACGCCGCGGGAGUGAAGAAGGUUUUCUGAUCGUAAAGCUCUGUUGUUAAGGAAGCGGUACUUAACCAGAAAGGGACGGCUAACUACGUGCCAGCAGCCGCGGUAAUUC